UACGUAGGGUGCGAGCGUUGUCCGGAAUUAUUAGGCGUAAAGGGCUCGUAGGCGGUUUGUCGCGUCGGGAGUGAAAACCCAGGGCUUAACUCUGGGCUGGCUUUCGAUACGGGCAGACUAGAGGUAUGCAGGGGAGAACGGAAUUCCUGGUGUAGCGGUGAAAUGCGCAGAUAUCAGGAAGAACACCCGUGGCUAAGGCGGCUCUCUAGUACGGUACUGACGCUGAGACGCGAAAGCGUGGGGAGCGAACAGG
rnacentral:rRNA from 1 species